GGGAUGUUCUCUGUUUAGUGAGUCCUCCAGAUCAGAGGCAGCAGGGAUGACCAGGGAUGUUCUCUGUUUAGUGAGUCCUCCAGAUCAGAGGCAGUAGGGAUGACCAGGGAUGUUCUCUGUUUAGUGAGUCCUCCAGAUCAGAGGCAGCAGGGAUGACCAGGGAUGUUCUCUGUUUAGUGAGUCGGCCAGAUCAGAGGCAGUAGGGAUGACCAGGGAUGUUCUCUGUUUAGUGAGUCCUCCAGAUCAGAGGCAGCAGGGAUGACCAGGGAUGUUCUCUGUUUAGUGAGUCCUCCAGAUCAGAGGCAGUAGGGAUGACCAGGGAUGUUCUCUGUUUAGUGAGUCCUCCAGAUCAGAGGUAGCAGGGAUGACCAGGGAUGUUCUCUGUUUAGUGAGUCCUCCAGAUCAGAGGCAGUAGGGAUGACCAGGGAUGUUCUCUGUUUAGUGAGUCCUCCAGAUCAGAGGCAGCAGGGAUGACCAGGGAUGUUCUCUCGAUAAGUGUGUGAAUUGCACCAUUUCCUCUUUUCCUGCCAAGCAUUCAAAAUGUAACAAGUACUUUUUGGGUGUCAGCGAAAAUGGAUGGAGUAAAAAGUACAUUUAUUUUUUUAGGAAUGCAGUAAAGUAAAAAUUGUCAAACAUAUAAUUAGUAAAGUACAGAUACCCCAAAAAAACAUUUAAGUAGUACUUUUUAAAGUGUUUUUAAUGAAGUACUUUACAACACUGUAACCUAAGCUUUUUUGUGUGUAUGGAACAUUUUUUGGGAUCGUUUAUUUCAGCUCAUGAAAACAUACGAGCAAAACAUUUACAUGUUGCGUUUAUAUUUCUAGUUCAAUAUAGAAUGAUUCACCUUUCUGGUUUUAUGGUUACAACGUCUGUGGCGCACAAUGCAAUGCAACUUCUGGAGAUGUUUGAAUGUGAUCUGAUCUGUGGUUCUGAUUAUGUUUAUAAAACAGGCCUAUUGGGGAGCAGUAUAACUGUGGACAUUCUCCCAUUCUCUUUAUGUUGGAUCUUUGUCCUGCUACUGUGGAAAGUACGGACGUCCAUAGUCUGCGU
ensembl:lncRNA